GGCUUCUGCUCCGCGGCUGCUGAGUGAGCCCUCAUCUGGGACUCUCCUCAGCUCUUACUGGGACAGUGGCGCGGCUGCCCCUCUGUUAGUCUUCCUUGGUCUCAUGUGUUCUGGGGGCCUCUGGAUGUCUGGAGUUUUGAUCUCCUCCAUACCUGCUUCAUACCCUGGAGGACGGGGCUGUGGCCCCCCCACACUCCCUAGCAGAUCGUUACAUGGAGAAACCUUUGGAAUACAAGCAUGCUGAUCCACACAGGUGACCCAGGUGUUUUUUUUUUGUUUUUUUUGUUUUUUUUCUUUCUUCCCCCCCUUCUCACCGUCUCUUCUCCCCUUUGGUUUUCUUUCUCUCCCUCUCUUUCUUUCAUUCUUUCUCCCUGUCCUGUCCCGUUUGUAGCAACUGAAGAUAAAAUAAAUUCAUAAUUAUAAUAAAGGUCAAUCAAAUGGACCAAUAUGGCAAGGCCAUGAUGAUCCACUUGGUAAAAUAAAUCCGCUUGGCAUCUUUCUUGGCCUUAAGACAACAAUUCUGAUGGCUAAAGAUCCAAACGGGACACAAAAAAAAAAAAAAAAAAAAAAAAGCUGUAAGCUAAUAAUAAUAAUAAUGGAUUGAUAUAGCGCUUUUCAAGGCACCCAAAGCGCUUUACAAUGCCACUAUUCAUGCACUCUCACAUUAACACACUGGUGGAGGCAAGCUACGGUUGUAGCCACAGCUGCCCUGGGGCAGACUGACAGAAGCGAGGCUGCCAUAUCGCGCCAUCGGCCCCUCUGGCCAACACCAGUAGGCAAGUAGGGUAAAGUGUCUUGCCCAAGGACACAACGACCAGGACAGAGAGCCCGGGGAUCGAACCGGCGACCUUCCGGUUACAGAUACGCUUCCCAACCCCCUGAGCCACGGUCGCCCCUAAUGAUAGUUAUAUAAGAGCAGACGCAUGCUGGUGCAAUAAGCUGUACGUUUUACGUACAAUGGAUGCAUGAUCUGAUUAGUCGACUAAUCGCAAAAAUAAUCGGUGACUAGUCGACUAUCAAAAUAAUCGUUUGUGGCAGCCCUAUUCAACUUGAAAUAUUCAGUGUAUCACAGUGUGAUCUGUAAAAAAAUACUAGGUUUAGAAGACAAGAGGCUGUGUUUGUGUGUGUGUGUGUGUGGUAGGUAG
ensembl:lncRNA